GACGAACGCUGGCGGCGUGCUUAACACAUGCCAGUCGAACGGAAAGGCCCUGCUCUUGUGGGUUGCUCGAGUGUCGAUCAGGUGAGUAACACGUGUGUAACCUGCCCUUGACUGUGGGAUAACUUCAGGAAACUGGGGCUAAUACCGGAUAGGAGCUCCUGCGGCAUGGUGGGGCUUGGAAAGCUUCGGCGGUUGGGGAUGGACUCGCGGCUUAUCAGCUUGUUGGGGGUGUAGUGGAUGACCAAGGCUUUGACGGGUAGCCGGCCUGAGAGGGUGACCGGCCACAUUGGGAGGGAGAUGCGGCCCAGACUCCUACGGGAGGCAGCAGUGGGGAAGAGAGCACGAUGCGCGGAAGCCAUCUGCAGCAACGGCGCGUGCGGGAGGAGGGCCAUUGGGGUGUAACCCGAUUUCGCCUGGGACGAGGCGUGAGUGGCGGUAAUGGGUAAAGAAGCACCGGCUAACUCCGUG
rnacentral:rRNA from 1 species